UACGGAGGGUGCGAGCGUUAAUCGGAAUUACUGGGCGUAAAGCGCACGUAGGUGGUUUGGUUAGUUGGAGGUGAAAGCCCGGAGCUCAACUUCGGAAUUGCCUUCAAUACUGCCGGACUCGAGGCAGGGAGAGGAGAGUGGAAUACCCAGUGUAGAGGUGAAAUUCGUAGAUAUUGGGUGGAACACCAGUGGCGAAGGCGGCUCUCUGGCCCUGUCCUGACACUGAGGUGCGAAAGCGUGGGGAGCAAACAGG
rnacentral:rRNA from 1 species